CGCAGCCCUGCUUAUCUGCGGCGCGCCCUGCGAUCGCGGGCUCGUAGGGCGGAAGGGCUUAGAGGAGCGAGGCAGGCUAGGCGCUGGUUAGGCAGACUCUAGUCUAGGCGAAGCGGCGCGACACGGAGGCGCGGAAGGCUCGCAGCUUCUAGACUUUGGCACAGGAGGGAGCUGCCUUGAAGCGCAUGUAGGGAGGGAGGAAAGAAGGGAAGAUGGUCAUUCGGGUUUUCGUCGCGUCUUCCUCUUGUUCCGUGGCGAUAAAGAAGAAGCAACAAGACGUUGUGCGAUUUCUGGAAGCCAACAAGAUUGACUUUGAAGAAGUGGAUAUCACCAUGUCAGAGGAGCAAAGGCGGUGGAUGUAUAAAAAUAUUCCUCAAGACAAACUGCCUGCACAAGGCAACCCAUUGCCUCCCCAGAUCUUCAGCAAUGAUGAGUACUGUGGAGUAACAGAUCAUUUCAUCAUUUUGUACACCGGCUAGCAUCUAUAAAGGAUUACGACUCGUUUUUUGAAUCCAAGGAAAGUAACACCGUCUUUACAUUUCUUCGCUUGAAGUCUAAUUUGGCCUCACAGGAAUCAGAACCUUAGGAAAACUCCUUGAAGAUUCCAGAAGCACUUUGUCUGGGCGAAUGAAUUCCUCGAUGUUCAGCACGCUACACCUUCCCUCGUGGAUCACUGUGAUACAAGCCAAUAUGCACCAUUGGUAUUUUGCUUGCUGCUGAAGAGAUGAAAAUAAGACAACGGAUACAAAAAAUGGGGUGAUUGGUUGUGUUGGGUGCUCUUCUUUCUUUGCAAAUGUAGCUAAUGCUGUGGAUUAUUGUUCUGAUAUGCACUAUUAUUCCAUUUAAAUGAUGACUUAAGAUUCUCAAGAAUGGCAAAUGGCAGCAGAAUCAGAUCAUGCAUUAUAUAGUAUCAGAGAUUCAAGUGUUUACACUUUGCUGAGUUGAGAAUUACUGCAGGGAUGACCUAUUGUUCUAACUGUGAUUACAAACAUCUUGAGCUUGCAAAGUUCUCAUUUUCCAAAAUACCAAAAAAAAUAAAAAAUACAAUAAUUCUCCUUGCAGAACAUCUCAUUGUUGUGCUAUAUGUGCUAAUGUGUUUUUAUUGCCAUAAGUGGGCCUAAUAUAUAUUCCUGGUAGAAGCAAGAGCAUCAAUAUAUGGUUGCGAUUCAGCCGUACAGUGUAUAAGCCUUUCUGCAUAAAUGCCUAAUUCAAGCAAGGAUGUUUUUGCUUUGAUGGCCAUCUAAAAAUGAUCUCUUAUGAUCUCUCCACCUGAGAGACUAAGUUCUGGUGUUCAAGAACAAUACCAAAUCAACUGAUCAGCAAAAGUAGCAAAGAAGAAGUAUCAGCAAUCUGUGUCAUUCUGAACAAUAUUGCCAAAUUUUAUAUUUCCAUAUGCCUUCAAUGUCAGUGUCAAGCAUUCAUAACAGUAAAUGCUGUCAAAUAAUUGUAGAGUCAAGUUCAAAACAUGGAGUAUACCAUACAUGGUGAGUAACAUCUGUAUAAGACGGAAGCCAUGUUCAAUCACUUUAAUGGGGCAAAGGGUAGGGACUCUUCAAGAAAGGAACAUUUUCUGCCUAUAAAAUGUUUUUGGUAUUUCAUGUGAUUGUAUUGGGUGAAGACAAUAUGGUAUCUUCCACUUUUAAAGCACAUAAGAACAGACAACCCAGUGACAUACCGUGUUUCCCCAGAAAUAAAACCCUGUCUUUAUUUUUUUGAACCCUGAAAUAAGCGCUUGACCUUAUUGCCAUGUGCUCAAAACCCCAACUGGGCUUAUUAUCAGGGGAUGUCUUAUUUUGGGGGAAACAGGGUACAUCUCUAAAUGGGUGGAACUACAGAAAAAUAGCUCAGCCAGGACAUUCAGUUUGGAAGGAAAGUCCUAUUAUAUUCAAUUAAAUUUAGCCCCUGACAAGUGCACACUUCUUAUUUAGAUUCCCAAACUCUUACAAAACAUCACACCUCUUCAUUAGUACAGCUAGUUUUGGAAAUCAGCUGCCUUCUUGUCAAAGGCGCUGUUUGGUGUAAAAUUGGGCAGCUUCUGCCCAGUUUUGCUUUGGUUUAAAAUUGGGUAGGUUCUGUUUGGACAUAGCUACCAUUACCCCAAGGACCUCUUUAUAAUUCUUUAAAAAUGACAGCUGACUUCAUCAAACUGUUCAGAAAUAAAAGUAUGCAGAAGAAGAAAAGCAAAGGGAAGCUGAGGGAGCAGAGGGGUCCUGAUGACAUGGCAGAAAGCAACUUCUUUUGUUUGUCUUGACAAACGUGCAUGUCUUGCGAUUGGUCACAGCACAGUAGCAUCCACUGUGUGUUUAGAGAAACUCCUUCAUCACAGACACUUUGUAGUAGGAGCACCCAGGACCUGUUUCAUUUUUAAAAAUCCAGAUGUGUUCCAUCCCAGUCUUGCACUCUAGAACAACAUGUAAUCUUUGGGACUAAAUGACUUGAUGAAGUGUGUUAAUUUUAUUGUAUACACAGAGUUUCCCACCUGUUAGAGUUAAGUCUUAUCUUUCAUCAAGAUGUCCUCUCUAUGAGCCUCUUGAUUAGGGCAAUAAAUUCAAGUAUUCUGUUUAAGUAGAUCUGGGGUGCAAAAAUCUGGAUGACCAAUAGAUCAGGGUUCCCAAUCAGUACCACUCCAUGGCUUGUUAGGAACCGGGCCACACAGCUGGAGGUGAGCUGCGGGCAAGUGAGUGAAACCAAAACAAUCCCCCCCACCCCCGCUUCUCCCCGGUCCAUGGCAAACUUGUCUUCCAUGAAACCAGCCUCUGGUGCCAAAAAGGUUAGGGACUGCUGCCAUAGAUGUUAGAAAAAGGCGGUCUGCCUCCGAAACCACCCUAGCCCUUGGCUGCCAUCUAGUGGUCACUGAUUUUUCAGCCCAGAUCAGUUAGCUGCAUUCAGGGGAAAGCCUAUAUUUAAUAGUGAAACCAGGUAAGCGUGAUCUGUAUUCAGUUACUCACUCAAAGCUCAGGGAAGUUUCUGAAGUAUUUGUUAUGAACAGGCAUUCCAAGGGAGUGGGAAACUUUUAAGAAUCCACUGUGUUAUCCAUUCUACUGUAUACAUGCAAACCCUUGUCAUAUUUAGAAUAGGAUGAGAUUUUAGCUAAUGUUAAUGAUAAGGUGAUGUAAAUUUAGAUUUUAUUGUUGCUUUGGAUUCUGGAUUUUUUGGAAGAGGGAGCAUAUUAUUAGAAUGCAGUUGCAAAAAGUGUCCCGUUUUCAUGUCUGAAUUAGAUCACUUAAGCUCACUAGUGAAUGCUAUUCUAUAUUUAAUUAAAUGUUUGGCUUUUUUAAAUUAAAAAUUGGUCAGUCUUUCAUUUUGCUUGCUAUUAGAUUUCUCAUCCUUUGUUCUUUUAAAAUUAUUAAUGAUUGCAAUGUCCGUUUUAUCUGUUCUUUAAAGUUCUCCUUUUGGGAUGCUUCAUUCAAGCAUUCUAAACCCUGGAGAACUUGCCAAGUGCUAGAAACUCUUCUUACGUGUUGUCAAUAUGUCAG